AUGUAUUUCAAAAAGGAUACACGCCGUGCAUGCGGGCUGAUGAUAAGUCACGCAUCGAAGGCAUGAGUCGAACUUUUGGGAGACAUUGUGAGCUGAAAAGUGGUCUUUUCUUGCACUUUCUCAAGAACCAAGGACUCCUAACAGCCUGAAAACACACAGGGAGUACACUGGAAUCCUGCCAGUCACCCUGGAAGCAUGCCGGCCACUUGCCAUAUCUAUCGGCCACUUAAGUGGUCGGUUGGCCAGAAAAACUGGCCGGUCGGCUAGUUGCAACAGAUUCGGGGCAGUUCGGUCCUUUUGCAUUCGGAUCUUUAAAAACUCAUAUCCAAAUCACUUUUCGUCACACAUACAAAGCCGAAAUCCCCUCCUCCUUGCUCCCAAACACUUUUCCUCCUCAGAUUCGUGCCCCACACGCGUUUUCCAACGCCUCUUGCGAAGUUGAUUCGCAAAAAACUUUUGAUUCUCUUCGUUUUGAACCGAACGAAAGUUGUUUUAGGAGUCUUUUCAUCUAUUUUCACCAUUUGAUGUUUGUUUCCCCCAAUUUUGGCUUGAGUUUGGCACCCUUUUCUCGAGCUUUGACUUUUUUUGACUUUUUUCCUUCCCGAGAGUUGACUUUUGUUGACUUUUGGCAUUUUCGCCCCAUUUUGCUAAUUUUUGCCUUCUUUUCAGAUGGCAAACGACGCGCCACAUGGCGGAGGUUCUCCAAGGAUGGAGGGGGAGCCCGAGCACAUUCCAUUGCUGCCCAGAGUUCGGCCAUUCGACCCCACGACGUAUUAUCCCGAGGCACAUGUGCUACCACUCAGUACAGUCCGCCAUUUCACUGGCUUUGCGCGGCGUGCACCCGCGGACCUACUACUAAGGGAGCUGGAGUCCCAUUUGUCCCAUGAUGCCCCAGAGGUACACACCGCACUUUUACAUUUUCUGCGAUGUACUUUACAUUUUUCGCAUAGUUCGCACUUCUCGCACUAUAUUUCAUCUGCUCGUUCUGAACACACGUACAUACUGUAUUCCUGCUCAUUAUGAACACAUUCACACACUGUAUUCCUACUCAUUUUGAACAUAGUCACACACUGUAUUUCUGCUCAUCCACACAGGUUGACUCCCGUUUCACCCGUGAAUAUGGGUCAACCACAGUGAGAGAGUGGUACUCGGAGCUUUUUGACAGCGUUCAGCAGAUUAUUGACGAGGCAGAGUUUGGCUUAUUCUGCUCUGGGCUCUCCCAUCUUUUCGCGAGUAGAAUCGUCUUAGGCACGUUAGUAGAGAGAUUGUGGGACACCACCAACUUCUUUCAUUUCUCUACCGCCGGGGACAUGACGAUGAACCCCGUAUGAUUUCGCGAUGCUGACCGGCCUUAAGGUGGAAGGCCAGCCGAUCCCAUAUGACUCCGAUAUGGGUGAGUAGGAGGCAGCUUGGACUCAUCUACUGGGGGCGCACCCAUCUAUUUAUCACUCAUCAGGCUUGGUUCGGUACACCUGGUUUACCGACCAUUUCAGAGGGAUGGAGCCCACGACGAUCGAGGAGACAGAGCAAUACGCCCGAGGCUUCCUCAUGUUCCUCUUCGGCACUACCUUGUUUGCCGACAGAGGGAACACAAGAGGGCUAUAUUUGUUGAGUGCCUUCGUGGAUCUGUCUCAAGUACGGCACUAUGAUUGGGGGGGCACCAGUCUUGCUACCCUCUACUGCUAUACGAGCUGGACCUCCCGCAGGAGCGGAAACAUAGUGGACGGCUACUGGAGAGCCUGGGAGCUAUGGGUAUAUGCCUAUUUCCCGACACUUGUUCUUGAGCCCGAGGUUAAGACGCCACCCCAGGUCCCCUAUUUAUGUCGAUACGACGGUAGGUACCAGCCGAGAGCGUGGGAGACCCUCCCAUAUCUGCGCCAAUAUUUUGACACCAUAAGGGUGACUGAGAUUACAUGGCAGCCCUGGGCGGUGAUGCCAGAGUUCGCUCAAUUUCAUUUUGCCGGAGCUCGGGGUGCCUCCCGAUACCAGAUCCUGCUCGAGGGACCCGUAGGCAGAGCCUGGUUCUUGGGUGAGUGCUUCAUGCACCAGACAUUGGGCUUGCCAUUAUAGUUAGUUCCUUUGCCACCUCUACCGUCUAUACGGGACACAUAGAGUUUCUGUCCUCAGGAGCUUAUUGACAUCAUACGAGGCGCAGACACAGACCGAUUCAUUAAGGAUGGGGACUACAUGACCUAUAUCCAGACGUUCCUCAUGCCUCCAUUAGUAGGCGUUCGUGCUCCCACGGGGAGGAUAGCUGAUAUUGCAUCGUCGAGUAGGGCUCGGACAGGUGGCUCUCCCUCGACGAGUAGGGCCCGGGCAGCGGAUGCCCUUUCGACGAGCAAGGCUUGGGCACAGAGGGAUGAGACUGGAGGGAUGCCUUCUACUAGGCAGUGUGUUGGAUGACCUGAUCCCCCGACUGAGCUAACCAGUUGGCGGAUCUCUGGAGUGCCUUAUCGGAUUCCGCUCGAGCCUCCAUUGCUAGAUCAUUGAUAUGUUAGGACAUCCAGCGCACCACAGCCUUCUGUAGAGUAUGUCGAGGGGUUACUCCAGGAGAUGGCCUCAUUAGAGAGCAUGGUCUCUAGGAGAGAGAUGAUGCUGAGCUCCCAUGUGAUUCCGAUAAUUUUUCAAUUUUCUUGCAUUUAUCAUACUUCUGCUGAUACACGGAAACUGACACCUCAUUGCACUGAUGCACUGCAUGUAUAGAUCACAUCUGACACAUUGCAUUCACAUACUGUAUCAGAUUUUUGCACGUACUCACUUUGCAUAACAUACUUGCAUCUGAUACAAAUAUUGUACCUGAUGUAUUCAAACUACCUUUUUCAGGUCACACCCCUUCAGAUAGGACCAUCUGAGCCUCCUCCAGUAGUAGGGAGAGAGAUUCUGGCACCCAGCUAAAGGAGACGUCGGGAGCCUACCGCACGCGAUGAUGACGAUGAGUCCAGCAAGGGCGAGGAGCUAGGGAGUCCCCAGUCAGAGUCAUCUGCGGGUGGGGGCGACGGCACCGGCUCAGGUUCUGAGGGUGGCAGCGAUGCUGAGGAGGGCUCUGAGGAUGGGAGCGGAGGUGACUCUGGUUUUGGUUCGGGCUCAGAUCCAGAUGGUGGCGCCGAUGGCGAUGGUGCAGAGUAUGCUCAGCCGAGGAAGAGGAUGAAAAGGGCCUCUGAAUCCUGAGCUGGGUGGCACCGAUUUAGAUGCCUUCAUUUUCUUUUCUUUUCUUUUUUUCCUUUGUUUUUGAUUUGUUUCUCUUUUUGCUAGUAGUGUUAGCACCUUAC